UCGGCCUGCAGCAGAUUCUGCUGCAGGAAGCUUGGCUUCAACAGCCAGGCCUGCAGCAGGCAAGGCUGGCAGAGACUGUGUUGCAGCAGGCUCACCUGAAGUAGACUCAAGGAUCAUGGAUAUAUUGAGAAGAAGAGACAGAAAGAACGUAAGAGCCAGAAGUGAUGGAGGACUCCAUGGAAACAGCAUCUUCCAGACACAAGCCUGGUCCAUAAAUUGACUCACAGAAACUGUGGCAGCAUGCAUGAGACCUGCAAAGAAGAGGAAGUGGACACCAAGUCCCACCCCUAGCCAAGAGGAUAUCUGCAGUUGAUACUUGCUGGGAGAGGGAAUGAUUGAUUUUCUCUAAUGAAGUGACACACUCACUGUGACCAAGCCUCAUGCCCAGGAGGACUUUAUCAACCCAAAACAGACUCUCUGUUUUUCUGUGUGUGCUUUUCUUCUGUUAUUGUUUAGUGUUUUUUGUCUUCCUGAUUUUGUCUUGUCUUAUUUUUCUGUUUUUUUGGUUUUUUGAGGUUUUUGAGAGAGAAAGAAUAUGAAGUUGGGUGGAUAUGGAGGUGGGGAGAAUUUUCGAAGACUUGGGGUGAGGAGGGAGAAGAUGCAUGAUCAAAAUUCAUUGUAUGGAAAAAAUUUUUAAAAGGAACAUUAUAUAAACAAAUAAAAUGUAAAGACCAACAUGAUAUACAGGGCUGAGGAGAUGGCUCAAUCAGCAAAGUUUCUGCUGUGCAAGCCUGUUGCCCUACAUUUUAUCCCCAGCACCCAUAUAAAAGCCAGAGAUAUUGAGGGAAGAGUGGCAAAUAUGAUUAAAAUCUGUGGAGAGCCGUGAGCAAUCGCC
ensembl:antisense Gm42794 predicted gene 42794